UACAGAGACUGCGAGCGUUGUUCGGAAUUACUGGGCGUAAAGGGCGCGUAGGCGGCCUGCUAAGUCGAACGUGAAAUCCCCGGGCUCAACCCGGGAACUGCGUCCGAUACUGGCAGGCUUGAAUCCGGGAGAGGGAUGCGGAAUUCCAGGUGUAGCGGUGAAAUGCGUAGAUAUCUGGAGGAACACCGGUGGCGAAGGCGGCAUCCUGGACCGGCAUUGACGCUGAGGCGCGAAAGCCAGGGGAGCAAACGGG
rnacentral:rRNA from 1 species